UACGUAGGGUGCAAGCGUUAAUCGGAAUUACUGGGCGUAAAGCGUGCGCAGGCGGUUGUGCAAGACAGAUGUGAAAUCCCCGGGCUUAACCUGGGAAUUGCAUUUGUGACUGCACGGCUAGAGUGUGUCAGAGGGGGGUAGAAUUCCACGUGUAGCAGUGAAAUGCGUAGAGAUGUGGAGGAACACCGAUGGCGAAGGCAGCCCCCUGGGCUGAGAUUGACGCUCAGGCACGAAAGCGUGGGUAGCAAACAGG
rnacentral:rRNA from 1 species